rnacentral:lncRNA from 1 species
GGAGAAGUUGAUUUUGGGAUACUUGACGGGGAUGAGCUUUACACAACCCAAUCAUCAGAUUGGGGGCUUAGGGUCCGUUCUCGGACAUUCCUUGUUUGGUACUUGUUGCGAGUACACAGUUGAGGAGCAUAGGAGUUGGGGGUGAUACCUGUUAUGGGUGCCGUUGCGGACCACAUUGUGGAGACUUUUUUGGGAGCUAGGGGCUCGCCCCGGUUUGAAACCGAGUGGGUCGCCAUUUUUCACGGGAAUAUGUUAAACGUGCAUGACACUCGCUGAAUUAUGGGUUUAAGCCUGGGUCGAGACUGGCAAGUGCGGUACCAUACCUGUUGUAGGAUAGAGUAUCAGUGUAAGAGGGAGUGGUGCUGACCUUUAGCCUCCUGAUUUGCUUUUGCCCCCGAUUGGCCCCGGUGGGAGUGCUUCACAGUUCCGGGGUGGUCUUUUGUGGGGGAUCAUAUCCGAGCCCGGAUGCAGGAUGGUAUCGUAACUCCCAGUUUCUUCGCUCGGUAGGGUGACGUUCUCUCGGUCGAUGGACCGUUUGGGCUCACUCCAAGAUGGGUCCAGGUGUACACACUUUGCACAGUUAAAACUAUACGUAUAGCCACGUCCUCGGUCAUGGACAACCUUGUAUCACGACAACUCUUCAUUGUUUUGGGAUAUCUCUACC